GAUGAACGCUGGCGGCGUGCCUAAUACAUGCAAGUCGAGCGAACAGACGAGGAGCUUGCUCCUCUGACGUUAGCGGCGGACGGGUGAGUAACACGUGGAUAACCUACCUAUAAGACUGGGAUAACUUCGGGAAACCGGAGCUAAUACCGGAUAAUAUAUUGCACCGCAUGGUUCAAUAGUGAAAGACGGUUUUGCUGUCACUUAUAGAUGGAUCCGCGCCGCAUUAGCUAGUUGGUAAGGUAACGGCUUACCAAGGCGACGAUGCGUAGCCGACCUGAGAGGGUGAUCGGCCACACUGGAACUGAGACACGGUCCAGACUCCUACGGGAGGCAGCAGUAGGGAAUCUUCCGCAAUGGGCGAAAGCCUGACGGAGCAACGCCGCGUGAGUGAUGAAGGUCUUCGGAUCGUAAAACUCUGUUAUGAGGGAAGAACAAAUGUGUAAGUAACUAUGCACGUCUUGACGGUACCUAAUCAGAAAGCCACGGCUAACUACGUG
rnacentral:rRNA from 1 species